rnacentral:rRNA from 1 species
AGAGUUGAUUCUGGCUCAGGAUGAACGCUAGCUACAGGCUUAACACAUGCAAGUCGAGGGGCAGCAUGAUCAAGCUUGCUUGAUGAUGGCGACCGGCGCACGGGUGAGUAACGCGUAUCCAACCUUCCCUAUAGUAGUGGAUAGCCCGGCGAAAGUCGGAUUAAUACACUAUGUUGUAUUUAGAGGACAUCUGAAGAAUACCAAAGGUUUACCGCUAUAGGAUGGGGGAUGCGUCUGAUUAGAUAGUAGGCGGGGUAACGGCCCACCUAGUCGACGAUCAGUAGGGGUUCUGAGAGGAAGGUCCCCCACAUUGGAACUGAGACACGGUCCAAACUCCUACGGGAGGCAGCAGUGAGGAAUAUUGGUCAAUGGACGGGAGUCUGAACCAGCCAAGUAGCGUGCAGGAUGACGGCCCUAUGGGUUGUAAACUGCUUUUAUACGGGGAUAAAGUGAGCCACGUGUGGCUUUUUGUAGGUACCGUAUGAAUAAGGACCGGCUAAUUCCGUGCCAGCAGCAGC